ensembl:rRNA 5S_rRNA 5S ribosomal RNA
GUCUAUGGCCAUACCACCCUGAAUGUGCCCGAUCUCGUCUGAUCUCAGAAGCUAAGCAGGGUCAGGCCUGGUUAGUACUUGGAUGGGAGACCACCUGGGAAUAUCGGGUGCUGUAGGCU